GACACCAUCUGCAGUAAUUUCAUUGAUGCUCUCCCAGUUUUAGGUAUUGCUCAGAAAACAACAAGCGCGUCAUUCACUUCUCAACAUGUGAAGUGUAUGGGAAAACGAUAGGAAGCUUCCUACCCAAUGAUCAUCCUCUUAGAAAGAACAAGAAAGAAAGGAAGAAGGUCCGUGAGGUUGGCAUCUUGAAAAAGGAUCCUGAGGCUAUUCGAGAGCAAAUUGAGAAGAUGGAAAGAAUGAUUUACAAAUCUCAAGUACUCCAGAGUUGAAAUUGAUGAAGU